AGCUUUAUAGUUUCAUUAAAAUAUUAAUUUUGUAAAUUAAAGAAAAAAAAAUUUUUUAAAGCUU
rnacentral:tRNA from 1 species